rnacentral:rRNA from 1 species
AUUGAACGCUGGCGGCAUGCUUUACACAUGCAAGUCGAACGGCAGCACGGGGGCAACCCUGGUGGCGAGUGGCGAACGGGUGAGUAACACAUCGGAACGUGUCCUCUUGUGGGGGAUAACCUGGCGAAAGCCAGGCUAAUACCGCAUGAGCUCGAGAGAGGAAAGCGGGGGAUCGAAAGACCUCGCGCGGGAGGAGCGGCCGAUGUCCGAUUAGCUAGUUGGUGGGGUAAAGGCCCACCAAGGCGACGAUCGGUAGCUGGUCUGAGAGGAUGAUCAGCCACACUGGGACUGAGACACGGCCCAGACUCCUACGGGAGGCAGCAGUGGGGAAUUUUGGACAAUGGGGGCAACCCUGAUCCAGCCAUGCCGCGUGAGUGAAGAAGGCCUUCGGGUUGUAAAGCUCUUUCGGUGGGAACGAAACGGGCACGGCUAAUACCCGUGUUCAAUGACGGUACUCACAGAAGAAGCACCGGCUAACUACGUGCCAGCAGCCGCCGUAAUAC